UGGCCGGUGAAGGUGCGGGGUGACCCAGUGCUGGAGGCUAUGCGAGUGAGAAUGCAGGCAUGAGUAGCGAUUGAUGAGUGAGAAACUCAUCCGCCGAAUGACUAAGGGUUCCUGGGUCAAGUUUGUCUUCCCAGGGUGAGUCGGGGCCUAAGGCGAGGCCGACAGGCGUAGUCGAUGGUUAACGGGUUGAUAUUCCCGUACCCGAGCAUGUGCGAAAGGAGAUGAGGCGGUGAGACUAACCACCCUGAAGGACUGUCGGUGCAUCUUUGGUGUGCUGGUGGUGUGGAUGCGUGGGACCUGAUCCGUAGUAGUCUAGUGAUGGGGUGACGCAGUGAGGUAGCCGAGCCACUUAUUGGAUUGUGGUGUAAGCGUGUGGCCCGUGUCCCAGGUAAAUCCGGGGCGCAUACAGGGUGAGGCGUGAUGCGUACCCUUUUGUGGGGAUGUCGGUGAUCCUGUGCUGUCGAGAAAAGCCUCUAGCGAGUGCGUGUUCGGCCCGUACCCUAAACCGACACAGGUGGUCUGGUAGAGUAUACCGAGGCGUUCGGGUGAACUGUGGUUAAGGAAUUCGGCAAAAUGCCCCCGUAACUUCGGGAGAAGGGGGGCCCGUGCUGGUCGCAGCCUUUUGCGGGUUGUUGGCUGGUGUGGGUCGCAGAGAAUAGAGGGAAGCGACUGUUUACUAAAAACACAGGUCCGUGCGAAGACGGUAAGUCGAUGUAUACGGACUGACGCCUGCCCGGUGCUGGAAGGUUAAGAGGACCUGUUAGGGCUUUGGCCCGAAGCGGAGAAUUUAAGCCCCAGUAAACGGCGGUGGUAACUAUAACCAUCCUAAGGUAGCGAAAUUCCUUGUCGGGUAAGUUCCGACCUGCACGAAUGGCGUAACGACUUCUCUGCUGUCUCAACCACAGGCCCGGCGAAAUUGCAGUACGAGUAAAGAUGCUCGUUACGCGCGGCAGGACGAAAAGACCCCGGGACCUUCACUAUAGCUUGGUAUUGGUGUUCGGUUCGGUUUGUGUAGGAUAGGUGGGAGACUGUGAAGCGGCUACGCCAGUGGUUGUGGAGUCGUUGUUGAAAUACCACUCUGAUCGUAUUGGAUGUCUGAACCUCGGCCCGUGAUCCGGGUCAGGGACAGUGCCUGGUGGGUAGUUUAACUGGGGCGGUUGCCUCCCAAAGUGUAACGGAGGCGCCCAAAGGUUCCCUCAGCCUGGUUGGUAAUCAGGUGUUGAGUGUAAGUGCACAAGGGAGCUUGACUGUGAGACUGACAGGUCGAGCAGGGACGAAAGUCGGGACUAGUGAUCCGGCACCGGCUUGUGGAAGCGGUGUCGCUCAACGGAUAAAAGGUACCCCGGGGAUAACAGGCUGAUCUUCCCCAAGAGUCCAUAUCGACGGGAUGGUUUGGCACCUCGAUGUCGGCUCGUCGCAUCCUGGGGCUGGAGUUGGUCCCAAGGGUUGGGCUGUUCGCCCAUUAAAGCGGCACGCGAGCUGGGUUUAGAACGUCGUGAGACAGUUCGGUCUCUAUCCGCCGUGCGCGUUGAAACUUGAGAAAGGCUGACCCUAGUACGAGAGGACCGGGUUGGACGUACCUCUGGUGGGCCAGUUGUCACGCCCGUGGCAUUGCUGGUUGGCUACGUACGGGAGGGAUAACCGCUGAAAGCAUCUAAGCGGGAAGCCUGUUUCGAGAUGAGGUUUCGUGUGAGGUUCCCUGUAGACGACGGGGUUGAUAGGCCGGAUCUGGAAGCCAUGUGAGUGGUGGAGGUGACCGGUACUAAUUGACCGAACAUUACACAUGA
rnacentral:rRNA from 1 species